GGCAGGGUCUCCAUCUACCUCUCAGAGAUGAUAUUAGAAUAUAUUAAAUUCUUUUAUUAAAGAAAAGAAUCCAAAGAAGAGAUUUUUAAAACAAUUUAAAA